UGGGGAAUCUUGCGCAAUGGGGGAAACCCUGACGCAGCGACGCCGCGUGCGGGAUGAAGGCCUUCGGGUUGUAAACCGCUUUCAGCAGGGACGAGGCCUUAUGGUGACGGUACCUGCAGAAGAAGCUCCGGCUAAAUACGUGCCAGCAGCCGCGGUAAUACGUAUGGAGCAAGCGUUAUCCGGAUUCAUUGGGCGUAAAGCGCGCGUAGGCGGUUUGUUAGGUCAGGAGUUAAAUCUGGGGGCUCAACCCCUAUCCGCUCCUGAUACCGGCAGGCUUGAGUCUGGUAGGGGAAGGCGGAAUUCCAAGUGUAGCGGUGAAAUGCGCAGAUAUUUGGAAGAACACCGGUGGCGAAGGCGGCCUUCUGGGCCACGACUGACGCUGAGGCGCGAAAGCUAGGGGAGCGAACAGG
rnacentral:rRNA from 1 species